GUCCAUUUGCACUUCUGAACACUGUAGUGCUUACCAAAAAUGUCGCUUUGUGUUUACUGUUGCUACUCGUAAGUCGAUUUGUUAUAGGUUACAUUUCAGCUUGAGUUAGUAGAUGCUCCAAAUACAGUAAAACUAAAAUUAUAGAGUAGCGAAAUAGCGAAAUAGUCGCUACAUUUUUAAAGCAGUAGCUGUAGUCAGUAGCGAACU